rnacentral:rRNA from 1 species
AACGAACGCUGGCGGCAGGCUUAACACAUGCAAGUCGAACGCCCCGCAAGGGGAGUGGCAGACAGGUGAGUAACGCGUGGGAAUCUACCGUACCCUACGGAACAACAGUUGGAAACGACUGCUAAUACCGUAUACGCCCUACGGGGGAAAGAUUUAUCGGGGUAUGAUGAGCCCGCGUUGGAUUAGCUAGUUGGUGGGGUAAAGGCCUACCAAGGCGACGAUCCAUAGCUGGUCUGAGAGGAUGAUCAGCCACAUUGGGACUGAGACACGGCCCAAACUCCUACGGGAGGCAGCAGUGGGGAACAUUGGACAAUGGGCGCAAGCCUGAUCCAGCCAUGCCGCGUGAGUGAUGAAGGUCUUAGGAUUGUAAAGCUCUUUCACCGAUGAAGAUAAUGACAGUAGUCGGAGAAGAAGCCCCGGCUAACUUCGUGCCAGCCGCCGCAGUAA